UUGUUGCUCUGCCCCCCAAAGUCUGGGCCCUUUCGGUCACGUUCCCAUUGGCACCCCCGGAAAUGAAGCAGUGGUUUGGGCAGAAACAAGCAGGGGCAAAGCAAUCCCGCUACAGGCAGCUGGUGCCUCCAGGGAGCCCGGUGCGUGCUGCGUGAGUGCUCCUCCACCCGUGCAAGGCUGAAGCCCCAUCUGACCGCGCGCGUUCAUCCCUUUAUCACCCGCCUGGCUGCUGGCAAGCGGCUCAGUCAGCUCGGCGUCAUCUCCAUCCCGAGCGGGGCCGGGGACGGCGAGCGACAGCCGCGGCUGUGCCGAGCAUCCCCGUGCUGCUGCACCCGGCAGGCAGCCCCGGCAGCCCCCGCCCUGCCGGCUGCUCGCUCACCAUGCUGGAUAUUUUCAUCCUGAUGUUCUUUGCCAUCGUCGGCCUGGUGAUCCUCUCCUACAUCAUUUACAUGCUCUAGAGCGAUGCCGGGGGAGAGGCGGCUCAGCAUCAGCCCGGCGAGCAGCGCGCGGCGCAGCCGCCGCCCGGCCCAGCUCGCUCGGAUCCUUCUGGAAAAGCGUCAGACCUCGCAAGCGAGCGGCUCCCCACGCCGGAGGAGGGAGCGGUGCGGGGUUGGCACUGCUGGGGGGGGGCUGAGGGGGUGAAGGAGGGGAGAUGGGGCGGCGGGGGGACGCCGCACGCCCGCUGCCCCACUGAGGGAUGCUCCUGGGAGGGAGGCGAAAGGUCCUGACCCCCAUCCGUGGGUUGGCCCCUUGGGAUGAGCACUUCCAAGGUCCAGGAUUUGGGUUCUGUUUUGGAGAGCACUUAUUAUUAUUUUUGGUGAAAAACGUUCAAAGAGAUUAAAUAAAAAGGAGGAAUGACACGGGA